UACGAAGGGGGCUAGCGUUGCUCGGAAUCACUGGGCGUAAAGCGCACGUAGGCGGAUUGUUAAGUCAGGGGUGAAAUCCUGGAGCUCAACUCCAGAACUGCCUUUGAUACUGGCGAUCUUGAGACCGGGAGAGGUGAGUGGAACUGCUAGUGUAGAGGUGAAAUUCGUAGAUAUUAGCAAGAACACCAGUGGCGAAGGCGGCUCACUGGCCCGGUACUGACGCUGAGGUACGAAAGCGUGGGGAGCAAACAGG
rnacentral:rRNA from 1 species